CCUUAAAGGAGCCAGACGCAGCAGAGUGGAACCGCAACUGUCACGCUGGCAGCAGCAUGAUGACCACACCAGCAUAUGGAAGAAAGAGUUUAGUUGGGUAUACAACUCCGGUCUAAGCUUAUUUUAACUUAAGAGUCAAGAGUCCCUAAUGGCAGAGCAGAAGGCAUGGCAGCAGGACCAGGAAACUGAGAGCUCACUUCAUGAAC
rnacentral:lncRNA from 1 species